ACGGGUGAGUAACACGUGGGCAACCUGCCCUUGAGACUGGGAUAACUUCGGGAAACCGGAGCUAAUACCGGAUAAUAUAAGGAACCUCCUGGCUCCUUAUUGAAAGAUGGUUUCGGCUAUCACUUAAGGAUGGGCCCGCGGCGCAUUAGCUAGUUGGUGAGGUAACGGCUCACCAAGGCGACGAUGCGUAGCCGACCUGAGAGGGUGAUCGGCCACACUGGGACUGAGACACGGCCCAGACUCCUACGGGAGGCAGCAGUAGGGAAUCUUCCACAAUGGACGAAAGUCUGAUGGAGCAACGCCGCGUGAGUGAUGAAGGCCUUCGGGUCGUAAAGCUCUGUUGUUAGGGAAGAACAAGUGCGAGAGUAACUGCUCGCACCUUGACGGUACCUAACCAGAAAGCCACGGCUAACUACGUGCCAGCAGCCGCGGUAAUACGUAGGUGGCAAGCGUUAUCCGGAAUUAUUGGGCGUAAAGCGCGCGCAGGUGGUUUCUUAAGUCUGAUGUGAAAGCCCACGGCUCAACCGUGGAGGGUCAUUGGAAACUGGGGAACUUGAGUGCAGAAGAGGAAAGUG
rnacentral:rRNA from 1 species